AUUCUGCUGUUGUAUUUCUAACAAUCAUUUCUCGACCUCCUGAGACACAACUCCUCCACCAUCUGAACCUUCAGGAUGUCCUUCUUCUUCAGACAUUUGACGCUGAUGUUUGUGCUUCUGCGUGGACUCUCAGCAGAUGCUGUUGUGUCACUAAACUGCAACCAAACAGUGGAAGUUACAUAUGGAGAGGAUCUGACUCUUAGUUGUGACAUUGAAUGGAAAGAAGGCCAGUGUAAAAUCAAUUCAAUUAAGUGGAACGACACAACAGAAAACCUCUGUGACAAGAACAGAUGUGAAAAUAAAACUACCUCUGCCUCACUACAAAUGUUUAAUGUCAUCGAGGAGAAGAACAUCAGCGUUAUCAUUAAUGCUAAUUGUGGCAUGGAUUCUGUCAGUAUCAGCCUGAAGAUCAAACCUGUUACAGUUAAAGUUGUGUCGUCAACCGCAAACCCCAAACCACUCAAUGCAAUCGCUGCUGUCUCUGCAGUCAUUAUUGCAGUCAUUGCUGGAGUUGCUUUGCAUCGACGUAAACGGAAGCAACAGCAGGGCGUCCCGCAGACUGAUCACCAGAUUGACAGUGUCUUGCCAGCUGUGUGAGACUUUUGCCUUCCUUGCUGUUUUUGCACUGAUGGUGAUACUUAAAUCUCAUUGUACUAUGCACAAUGACAAUAAAGCCAUUCUAUUCUAUUCUAUUCUAUUCUAAACAAGGAAAGAAAAGGAGAGAAAAAAAGAACCCAGAGUGGGGCUCAAAUGCAUCAUGCAGACAUGUUGGACAAACCCCGGCAGGUCAGGUUGGGUUGUCCCCAGUCAGGACAGAUUCCUGCAGAACACGAGGAGAAGAUGCUGAAGAAACGGCAUCUGGUGGAAGUGCUUUGUUUGUUUAUGGAUCCAGGAUUCCCUCUGCAGGUACAGAGAAAAUCUGUGUUCAUGGACUCAAGAAGAAAAGUGUUUCUCAUACUCAUUUGUAUAUAUUGAUAAAAACACACUGUGAUCACAUCAUUCAUGGUUCUGUUUUGUAAAGUACAUUGGCGUCUGUGACACCCUUUAAUAUAUCUAUAGAUUUUACUCUCAAAAGUCUUUCCUGUGAUUUUUUUUUACUUGCAGGUCAAACUCUGUGGGACUUUUGUACAUUUUUAAAUGAGCUAAUCUAUUUAAUCAAAACAUUGAUUUAAUACCUCAAAUCUUGUAAAUACAAAAACAAAAUGAUAUGUUUUCUUGGAUGUUUUUUGUCUUUAUAUAUACAUCAUGUAUGGUUUUCUGUAUAUCAGCUGCUGGUUUUCUAAUAAAAACAUAAUGUCAGGCCAACAAAAAUUUUGGUGGAUAAAAUGUAAAUGUUUCUGCUAUUCUUGUUUAUUUUUCAAUAACCAAAAAGAAAAACUGUGGGAUUUUAGAUG